AUGCGACGUUUGGCUUUGGCAGAAGCCUCAUCACGUGACAUACUUUUACCUAAUAUAGUGAUAUUAGAAAUAAUAUGAUGAUUCAAUGUUUGGUUUUAGCAAAAAUUUGUGUUAUGUGUGAUGUAUCUGUGUGAUGUAUUUUUGAAAUAAGCCUGAAAUAAUGAUAAUGAAGAUAUGUGUAACGUUACAUAUUUUCUUUCUGUGAAAAUUUCUAAAAAGGAAAUCGAAUCACUUUUAGAGGUUAAACAUAAAGAAGAUGAUAUAAGAGAAUAAAAAUGAAAUAAGAGAAUGGGAUGCUGGACCAGAUUCGAGCUACAUUAUACAUAUACAUGUAGAUAUAAGAUCUUAUAGCGAAUUCAAAAUUCCUCAUUAAAAGCUUCUUCUUUCGAUUCGAUGGAAUAAAUUCGCAAUAUCGUAAGUCAAAUUAUUAUUUUAUUAAUUUUAUAUCAUAUUAUUAUAUAUUUUUUGUAUCAUAAAUUCACCCAUUUUUUUAUAAAGAAAAUUUUUUAGCAAUCUUAUUUAUUUAUUUACGUUUAAAUCCACAUUUUCAGCUUUUAAAUCGAUUUUAGCUCGUAAAUAGAAUAUGUACACGAAACGUUUCGGUAAUUACGGAUGUUUUGUACAUAGCAAUCGGUUCAUUUGAUAUUCAGGAAACGUAAAACUCGCGCUCUUGAAAAGCUUGGAAGUUCAAGAUCUCCCUUUCUGGAAGAUCAUUUCCAGUUUCCAUUUGCGAAGUUCCGCAACUUGUCGCGCCACAUUUCAGUAACUGCCAAUGGAAAACGACGUGAGGUAAUAGCAACGAGAGGAUUGGCAUCGAAUAAAUCGGUCAGGUUCAAGGAAACUGUCGCUAACGUGAACAACAAUCGAUCAAUGAUCUAGGAAUACUUGGAAAACAAUUAAUCGAAUAUCUAUUUACUAACAUUAAUAUAUUUUUUUAUACUUUUUGUUAUCAUUCUACAUUAAUAAAUUAUGAGAUAAUUUAAUUUGAAAAAAUUAAAAGUUAAUGAACAAAUAUAUUUCUCAAUUUUUAAUCGAAUAUUGAAAGUUGAGCAAAAACAUUAAUUAUUCAUUUUAUUUGUGAUUCUUGAAUAUAGCACGAGUUAUAUUAGUAGAAUAAUUAUGAUGUAAUAAUUUUGAUAAAAGAUAUCUUGUAAUGUUUGAUGAAAUAUUAUGUAUAUGUGUGAUAAAAUUCUUAUUGCUUCAAAAAUAUAAAAAAAUACAAUUAAACAAAUUCCAUACAAUGUUUAUUUAACACAUUGAUAUGAAACUAUUAUUGUACAUAUAUAAAUAAGCAACAUCUCUAUUGAAUGAAUACAAAACUUUGAAUUUAUUGUAUAUUGGCGUGGGAUAUAAUAUUUAGGUCAAAUUUCUACCCAUUGCAAUCUCAUACAAACAAAAAAUACAAACCAAGAAAAGCCACAAUCUUCAACCAAAUCAAAAUAUGCAACAAUCUCACAUCUAUACAUUAUAUCUCUACAUUAUUGCAAAUAGAAAUAUUUUUCAAAAAUCCAGAUGCCAUUACAAGAUCAAUAAAACGUGUAAUUCAAGACUUUCGCACAGUGCAGUACAGUAUCUAAACCGGUAAUACAUUCGCACCUUCCUUAAGACCUCGUUCGAAUCCUAAUUACAUUCCAAUUGCAACGUGCACUAUAAUUCAAACGAAACUACCAUGCAUAUCUUCCACAUCACGUAAGCACAAACCAAUCCCACGCACCAGAGUGCGUAGUACCGGUAAUCGACAGUGGCCUUUAUUGAUUUUUCAUUUCCCAGCCAAUUCAAUUAUCUGGCAGGAGAGGACAAUUGGAUUAAUUCGGGCCCUUAAUUCCCUCGCUUCCAACAAUUGAGUUAGAUGGCUUGAUUCGUCUCGAUUGUAUUAAAAACCGUUACGCACUGUCGGCCACUUACUGAUGACCAGGUCAUUGGAUUCAAGAAAAUGUAUAGGCUUCUAUUGUGCGUGUCUCACAAUAAGUUUCAUGGGGCAUUAUAGAGACAUGAGGACACAGGCAAAGGACGCUCUCAUUUCACAAUCAUCGAUGACCGAUUGCAAUAUGAGAUAAACACGAAAAAUUCGUACUUACUUGGAACGAGACUAUUCCCCUAACCAGACUUCCUCGACCAAGCGAAUAAAUACCCUCGAAUUACACGGGCCAUUACUCUAUGAGUUUAUUUACCAACGAGAAUCCCAUAGAACAACAGAACGGAAGGCCAUUACAUGCUUCCUCCAAUUAAGAGAACUCUUGGUCGUCGAUCAAGUUACACAACCAAGUUUUGAGGAUUUUCAAAACAUUCGCAACGAUGGAUAAAUCCUGUACGGUUAACCACCAUCACUCUGAUUUUUGUGAACUCGUCCAUAAAUGCAACAGUUGAUUUGGAUAUCGAUUUUUGUUCAAAUUAGAAUGUAGAGAAUGAAGGGAUUGUGUAUUUGUGUUAUUAUUUAUGGGUUAGUAAUAUUGGCAGUGGAAAAUGGUUUUAUACCAUGUACAUACAACUGACUCAUUCUAGAGAAACAAUCAUGUGAAUGUAGAUAUAAUUUGAGCUAACUUUGAGCUAAUAUUAAUAGCAAUUAUUGUUAUAAGUUAUAAAUUACUAUAUUAUAAUAAAAUAUUUUGCAAUAGAACAUUAUAAAUAUUAUAAUUUUGAUUGAUAUAUAAGUGUAUUUAAUGAUAAAUGUUUAAAUAAAUUAGAUGGAUAAACUGGAUAAGUUGAAUAUUGUAUUUUGAAGUAAUAUUAAAUUUUAAAUCAUAAGUUAUGUAAUAAAAUGUUCUUUAAUAGAAUAUGAAAUAUAUAUUAUGAAGAUGUAAUAUGUUCUACAAAAUAUCUACUACAAAAUUAUUGUUAUAUUUUUAAAUAGAUAUUAGCAAUAAAAUAUAAUGUUAUAAAAUUUAUUAUAAAUGAUUAUCGCUUUAUAAAUAUAAAUAAAUAACUAAAUAAUAUAUUAAUUAUUCUAAUUAAUACUUUAUAAUAUGUAUACACGUGACAGUAUAAUCAAUAAAGUUAAAAAUUUUACUAUAUUAAAUUGUAUAUAGCAAUGUCUAUACAAGUAAAAAAAUAUAACAACUAUUAUCGCAUA